GACGAACGCUGGCGGCGUGCUUAACACAUGCAAGUCGAACGGAAAGGCCCUGCUUUUGUGGGGUGCUCGAGUGGCGAACGGGUGAGUAACACGUGAGUAACCUGCCCUUCACUUUGGGAGAACUUCAGGAAACUGGGGCUAAUACCGUAUAGGAGCUCCUGCUGCAUGGUGGGGGUUGGAAAGUUUCGGCGGUUGGGGAUGGACUCGCGGCUUAUCAGCUUGUUGGUGGGGUAGUGGCUUACCAAGGCUUUGACGGGUAGCCGGCCUGAGAGGGUGACCGGGGACAUUGGGACUGAGGUACGGACCAGACUGCAACGGGGGGCAACGGGGGGGAAUAUUGCACAGUGGGCGGAAGCGUGAGGCAGCGACGCCGCGGGCGGGAAGACGGUCUGCUGGUUGAGAACCGCUGUCGGCUGUGACGAAGCGGGAGUGACGGUAAUGGGUAAAGAAGCACCGGCUAACUACGUG
rnacentral:rRNA from 1 species